CUUCGGUUUCAUGGGGUUACACAGUGCAGUUAUAUCCAUCUUUAGUCACCGCCAAGAAGCUAGGAACAGCUCUCUUGACGUUUAAAUCAUGGAGGAGUUGGAGCCGGGAACCUUUCACCUUCGAUACUCAAACCCUGAGCUCCGACCCGUGCGAGCGGCCGCUUAUAUAUUUCUUGGAUGGGAUCAAAGAAGUCAGUCCGGGUGAGACCCUGAGCACGCAUAAACGAUUCAAGUCGGAGGGAAAAGAAAAAUGUGACCGACCCGAUCAUGGCUUUGCUUCGGCUGUUGAAAUUUUCAACGUCUCUGCUCCGAUCCUCGCAUCUGAUUUUUGGAAGUCGGCGCCACGCAGACAAUGUUGCGAGGUGAUCAAUGGCGGAGAAGGAUUGAAUAAACUGGUUCAGGUGAAGAUCAGAGGGUGCAAUGAAUUUGAGAGCGUGACUCCUCCAUAGCCGCCCCCCCUCACCCCUCACCCCCAAGAGAAUUCUCAUUAAUUUUGCUCCGUGUAAAUAUAGAUUUUGGUAUUUUCAGUUUUCCUCAAACUCUACUUUGAAUGUUC